rnacentral:rRNA from 1 species
UCGAUUAGUUUGAUCAUGGCUCAGAACGAACGCUGGCGGCAGGCUUAACACAUGCAAGUCGAACGGUUGUAGCAAUACAGCAGUGGCGCACGGGUGAGUAACGCGUGGGAAUGUACCCUUGAGUUCGGAAUAACAGCGGGAAACUGCUGCUAAUACCGGAUAUUCUCUUCGGAGGAAAGAUUUAUCGCUCAAGGAUCAGCCCGCGUCAGAUUAGCUAGUUGGUGAGGUAAUGGCUCACCAAGGCUCCGAUCUAUAGCUGGUCUGAGAGGACGACCAGCCACACUGGAACUGAGACACGGUCCAGACUCCUACGGGAGGCAGCAGUGGGGAAUAUUGGACAAUGGGCGAAAGCCUGAUCCAGCCAUGCCGCGUGAAUGAUGAAGGCCUUAGGGUUGUAAAGUUCUUUUGCCAGGGAAGAUAAUGACGGUACCUGGAGAAUAAGCACCGGCUAACUUCGUGCCAGCAGCCGCGGUAAUACGAAGGGUGCUAGCGUUGUUCGGAAUUACUGGGCGUAAAGCGCGCGUAGGCGGUUAUACAAGUCAGAGGUGAAUCCCAGGGCUCAACCCUGGAACUGCCUUUGAAACUGUAUAGCUGGAGUGUGUGAGGGGAUAGCGGAAUUGCUAAUGUAGAGGUGAAAUUCGUAGAUAUUAGCAGGAACACCGGUGGCGAAGGCGGCUAUCUGGCACACAACUGACGCUGAGGCGCGAAAGCGUGGGGAUCAAACAGGAUUAGAU